CCUGACAUUUGCAAUAACAUGAUGGAUCUAGAGGGUAUUAUGCUCAGUGAAAUAAGCCAGGUGGAGAAAGACAAACAGCAAAUGAUUUCACUCAUUUGUGGAGUAUGAAAAUAAAAUGGAAGGAAUAAAGUAGUAGACUCAAGAGACGAAAAAGGGACUAGGAGGUCACCAAAAGGGAGGGAGUGUGGGAGGGGGGACAAUGGGAUUAAGGGGCACAAUAAUUUGCAAGCACAAUAUAGGUAGGUACUGGGAAUGGUAGUUCAACAUGGAGAAUAUAAUUAAUGGCUAUUAACAUCUUUGUGAUAGUGACUGCUGGAGGGGGUGAGGACUUAAUAAUGUAAGUUAAUGUUGAACCAGUUUGUAUUUGAAACCAUUGUAAGAUUGUAUACUUUAAUUAAAAAAAUGAUUGCUAGAAAAAAACUAGAAUGGACAAGGAAAUUACAUUUGGAAAAGGUCCCAAACAACAUGUAAUAUAAGGAGCACAGUAUAACAAAACACAUACAAUGCUAUGUGUUUAAGUGUAUAAAAUGCAUAGAAACACACAACCUGCUGGAGAUGAAAUUGGCAAGAAUUAGCUGUCAUAAUCAUACAUGAAAUCCAAUCAGUACUUUAGUAUCAUUGGGGUGGAAAAGUAAAAAGAGCUAUAAUAAAGGCACACUGUAUGAAAGAAGUAGGUAGUUCUUACAGAAAACAUUUCAAGAAUCAGAAAAAGCAAGACUACAUGUUACUAUAUGCGAGGCUUUUGUAAUAUAGAUCCAGAAUACGAUUCUUGGACAGAAUAGUAGAAAACAUAUCAUUAUUACUCAACCCUGUCAUUACAAAGUUUGUAUAACAGAAUCCAGUUAAUUGUGUGUGGUUCUUUAUGUCCAAGUUGAGUUUAUUAAGGAAUGCAAAGUCGAUUUAACAAUAGAAAACCAGUAAUUAUAAUGACUUUUUAAAAAAUAGUCCUUUUUACUCAUUCAAAUAUUUAUUAGGUACUUCUCAUGGGCCAGGUACAGUUCCAGGUGCUUGACUUUUGUCAGUGAACAAACAUCAUGUCACAUACUGCACAGAAAGUAUUUAAUGAAUUCAUAGGCAUUCAGUCUCCAAAUUAUAGAAUACAAGAAAAUCCUACAGCAGUAUGUAGAGUGACUAUUAAAAACUGGAAACCAUCUUUCUUUAAAACUUUAAAAACAUACUAGAUAUAAAGUGAAUUUAAGGUAUACAGCAUGCUAAACACAUUUAUGUAUUGUUAUUACCAAUUAGCACUUUCACAUAAUUAGUCUUUCUCUUUAAUAUUUGGGUUAAAUCUAGUCUCAGCACAUUUGAUGAUUAUAGUUUAAUACUGUUGGACACAAUCUUAAAUAAGCCAGAAAGCAUACACCUCUUUUCUGGGGUUUUUGUGAGGGAGGGCUUCAUGGCAUGGUCGUGAUUGACUAAAGUAUUGGCCAUUGGCUGAUUCAAUGUCCAGCCCCCACUCUUGGGGUGAGGGGGUGGGGUCCAAAAAUCUCAUUAGCAUGGCAACACUUGUUUCGCCUUUAAGAUUGCAGUGUAUUUAGGAACUGUGGAUGAAGACCAAAUAUUUUCUUAUGACUCAUUAUAUUGCAGUCCACCCAUGGACUUCCCAGAUUCCUUACAGCUAAACAGUCCUACCCGUUACAGCACUUAACAUCUAGUAUGGUAUUUACACAACAAAGAUACCAAUGCAAAUAGGUCUGACAUUUGGAGAACUGUGUGGGGUGGGGACAGAUUUAAAGGGACAACUCAUUUGUCCUAUGAAGUCUUGACCAAGUUUUCUCCCAAAGUGAUGGAACUUCACUUGCAGGCCGGCAGCACCGACCUUGUCAGGUUCCCAGAAGCAGAGGUGGUCAUGGCGAACAUACAGCUUCACCGUUCUGGUAUGCUUUUGCUAAGAGAGAUUAAUUACUCUAAGCCUCUCUGGAGGUGUUAGUCAGAAAGAGAUAUGAGUGACAUGAAAAGAAUGGGGUGCAUCAAGAACUCAGGAAAUUAAUCAGGAAGCCAGAAAGGACUCUCAGAAGUAACACUCUUUGCAAUGUGAGUUUGUUCCACAUGCUCUGAAUCCGGGCUCACCUUGAGACUUGAUCUAGCUAAUUCAGGUAAGGGAGCAGGAGCAGAGUCAAGGAACAACCAUAUGAUUAAUUUUCCUUAAAAAUGCCAAGAUACAGAGUCACUCCUGUUCUUGUUAUGCUAUCUUAAGGCUAAGAUUCCAUUUUAAAAGAGAACUGGGAAGUCGGAUUCCUGCAUAUUCUUUGGUAAUCAGCUAGCAACUCAUCUUAAAGCAAGACAAGCACUCGUAACUAUGUUCCCAGUGCUUGAGGGUAGCCACUAUCUUGUAGAGGAGCCAGAAGUUUAUUCUACAAAAUUAUCUAGAAGACUGUAUGGGUAAUGACAUACUGUCUCACUGGAGAUAGACAUCAUGAGAUGCCAUGACAAGCCUACACCCCCCAACCCUUUACCUUUGUCCCAUUCUUGAAAAUCCUUAAAAGACAAAAUCGCAGCUUUUAAGUGCACCUCUCAGAGGUUGCCCCUCACUCCCCUUUCUUGGUGUAUUUUUAAGACUUCUUACUGCUCAACUUACUAUGUUUUGUCUGUGUGCUUCCACUGGUGCCUUUAUCACUUGUUUCAUUCCGUUUUCCAGACUUUAAGCACUAAUCUUCACUGUCCUACUUCAGAUAAGUAGGGAGGGGCUGCUGAGAGCCCUGAUUAGAGCUUGCAGGUUCCCAUCAGGGAGCUUCCCCGUCCUCUGCUUUAUUCAAGUAGACCUGCUUUUGUCUCCCUUGACUGACCUGCUCCUCCCUUGGAGUGGAUUUUAAUAAAACUGGCUCUGCUUCACUACUGCGGCUCUGCCCUUCAAUUCUUUGUUGCAGUGGGAAGAAGAACUGAGGACAAACUAAACCCCCAACAGAGGCAUUAAUAAAAUGUUUGAUUUCCCUUGUUU